AGAGUUUGAUCAUGGCUCAGAUUGAACGCUGGCGGCAGGCUUAACACAUGCAAGUCGAGCGGUAACAGAGAUAGCUUGCUAUCUGCUGACGAGCGGCGGACGGGUGAGUAAUGCUUGGGAAUAUGCCUUAUGGUGGGGGACAACAGUUGGAAACGACUGCUAAUACCGCAUAACGUCUACGGACCAAAGGGGGGGAUCUUCGGACCUCUCGCCAUUUGAUUAGCCCAAGUGAGAUUAGCUAGUUGGUGAGGUAAAGGCUCACCAAGGCGACGAUCUCUAGCUGGUUUGAGAGGAUGAUCAGCCACACUGGGACUGAGACACGGCCCAGACUCCUACNNGAGNCANCAGUGGGGAAUAUUGCACAAUGGGCGAAANCCUGAUGCAGCCAUGCCGCGUGUGUGAAGAAG
rnacentral:rRNA from 1 species